GCAGGCUCUAAAAUUAAUUCAGAUCCUAGUCCAAAGUUGUUGACAUCAUCAGUUCCGAUAUUGCUUUUGCUGUGAUUUAAUUGUUGUAUAUAAAUGUAAAAUUGUUCUUCUAAGUUUCAUUAAUUUGAUAUUUCCUUUCGUUACUUUGAAGAAACUGCAGACUUCUUAAUUACCGUGGAAUAGUUAAAAUCCAGUUCAUUGGAGGGAUGACGCCAAAGUAGAACAGGGAGAACAUGAUAUUUUUGUUUGCCUAAUUCAUCAUAAAUCAGUUGACUGAAUAAAUUUGCCUCUCAGAAAAUCAUUCUCGCCUUUUAGGUCGUUUAUGUGAAUCACAGUCAUAAGAGUCGAGAAUUUAAAUGUUCAGGACUAUGACAAGAAAAGAGAAUGUACGAAGGUGGGGGAAGUGAUGAAGCAAAAUACUUGCUCUUAAGCAAUGGACACAUGCCUUGUUCAGAAAUUACAUGAACAUGAUACGGUCUGGCAGACAUUGGACUUGAGGAGCAAGGAUGAAAUAGGAGAGCCAAGAAGUUACGAGGAGUGAUUAAAGGAAAAAGUUGUGGUGCAUGAUACAAGCUCAGAAGUUGGCAGAAUGUGUUCCUUCUUCCUUUUCGUUUUUCCACCAUCAGAGUGACAAGACUAAAAACCAUUCUCUCCUUUCUUGACUUCGUUACAUGGUUAAUAAAUGCCAUGCUUGAGGGAGCAUGUCUUGCGCCUAUUGUUCCAUAUUUUUUCACAGGCCUUCAGUGUAGUUGGGGCUUUCACACAAGACAUUUGUGCUGUAAACUUUUGACAUGCAAUAGUGAUCAAUAUAAAUAUAACUAGUGCAAAGAAAUCUCUAAGUUUCUGAAGCAAUUCAAGCACAAGCAGAUCAAAACUCAAGUUUGUAGAUAAGAGAAUGUUAGAAAGUAUGAGAGGGUGUAUUUGGUUUUGGAGUUCGGAGUGGUUUCAAUUUUUUUAUGCAAAUACAAAAUAGCUUUCAUUGUUUAUAAUAUCAUUGCAAAUUGUUUAAGUGCUUCAACUGCUAUACAGUAUUAUAGUUUCUU